rnacentral:rRNA from 1 species
AUUGAACGCUGGCGGCAUGCCUUACACAUGCAAGUCGAACGGCAGCACGGGUGCUUGCACCUGGUGGCGAGUGGCGAACGGGUGAGUAAUACAUCGGAACAUGUCCUGUAGUGGGGGAUAGCCCGGCGAAAGCCGGAUUAAUACCGCAUACGAUCCACGGAUGAAAGCGGGGGUCCUUCGGGCCUCGCGCUAUAGGGUUGGCCGAUGGCUGAUUAGCUAGUUGGUGGGGUAAAGGCCUACCAAGGCGACGAUCAGUAGCUGGUCUGAGAGGACGACCAGCCACACUGGGACUGAGACACGGCCCAGACUCCUACGGGAGGCAGCAGUGGGGAAUUUUGGACAAUGGGCGAAAGCCUGAUCCAGCAAUGCCGCGUGUGUGAAGAAGGCCUUCGGGUUGUAAAGCACUUUUGUCCGGAAAGAAAUCCUUGACUCUAAUACAGUCGGGGGAUGACGGUACCGGAAGAAUAAGCACCGGCUAACUACGUG